GGGUGAGUAAAUUAUUUGUGAAUUGUUGUUCUGGAAGUGGAGUUCUCUUUUAAGAAGACAAGGAUUAAACAUCGAUAUUGAUUAGUCUCAUAAUAUUUUUAUGAACAUUUUGAAAGUUUUGUUGGAAUGGACUUUCAAAGUAGGAAGCAAAAUCUCUCAGAUUUAAUCAAAAAUGUAUUUUUUUGUGUUUUAUAGCUGAAUGAAAGUCUAAUGGGUUUGGAUCAACAAGUGGGUUGAGUAGAAAAGCAACUCUUUAGGUUUGGAAACUAAACAAGGGUAAGUAUUUUUUGAGUAAGCUGUCAAUUCUAAAAUUGCUGUUUCUGAUGAUGAUUGUAUGAAUCCAAUUCUUUGUUUGAAACUAAUGGUCAGACUCAUAACCUCACAGGGCGGCUGCAACUGCUCUCAGUCAAAGGUUUCCCGCCAUGGCUAGAGUGACCUCCCAUCUGCCGAGUCGUGUCUGAGGGGAACUUGUCUGUCCUUGCUGGGUAACAAAUGACCCUGACACACCAGAGACUCUGUGCUUGCACCUGCUUAACUUUUCUCACCCGUCUGUCUCCCAUCGCGCCAGACUGACAAAGCUCAGGGCCCUGUGGGCUCCAGACGAUUCUUUUCGGACCGAGCGGCGCGCUAGCAGGCGAGAGCGGCUUACUCUGGCUUUGGCAGCAUCUGUCAGCUCUGGGGUUGGUACAACCCUUGGGGGGAUGAUAGACUUGCUUAUAAAUAACCCUGAAAUGAAUUAAAAGAGAUAAAGAGGCGCCUGUUGCCGAAGAGACGGAGAGCUCUCGGUUUUGGCCGGAGGGCACGACGGGGGUGUCGGGACAGGCCGAUACGGUCGAGAGGGAGCGGGAGGUAUAAUUGAAACAUUGCGCCGUGGCAGAGUGGCCUUUGGUGUGAUUGAUACCAUUUUAGAGUACUCCUGUUCGCCCAGGCUCCGGGGGAUUUACCUGAGGCAGAGAAGGGAAGGGGGGAUGCUUAGGUGGCUCAUCCGGGUUUGGCAGAAAAUUGGUGCCAUCCAUCAAGUACCAGAUUUAACGAACACUGAAACCGGGCCGCCCGGCAAAGGAUUCUUAUUUAAGGCAGUGAACCAGGAAACGUGCGAGGGGCAUGGACUGGUGCGGGUCUAUCAAUCAGCCAGUCAGCUCCUUUAUUCAACAAGCGAGCGACAGCCCCUGAGGCCAGCGCAUGGGGUUCCGGCUUGUUGGCCUUGCAACACUCUCCCUGAAGGGAAGUGGUGGGAAGUGAAUGCGAAAGAGAGGUGGAGAGAGUUUUGAGGAGGGGGGCACAAGAAGAGGAGAGCCAUCAGGGCUUGGCCGUGUCCCCUGAUGAGCUAGCAUGCUUCAUCUUUCUUGCGCGUGGACCUGGAACUGCGGCUUGAUGGGAUUUUCAGCACUGUGGCCUCCAUGCCUCGCCGGCGAGCGGUCGGGGGCCUAAGGCUGGGCGCUGAUGCCCUCGCUGACUCUUGGACUCCCUUAACGCUGCAUCGCCUUUGCCUGAACUUGGAGAAGAAAAUCCAGAGCGCAGGAUUUAAUAGCUUCGCAAGAGUGAGAAAUGAAAUGCAACUUUGCGUUUUCUGUGGUCGUGGAAUGCCAACGAGUAGCUGAAACCAAUGGUCUCAAGCUCAAAUUACCUGGUGGGCCUCUAGCCAGCCUCCAACAGGGUUCAGUUGAACAGAUACAACCAUGAAUUUGAACUUCAUAAAGUUUUUGGUGCAGUUGUUUUCAACAGGUAGCAGUUGCAGGAAUUGACCAGUCAUCAGAAGCUGGCUUUGAGGUUCUGGUUUCCUGUCUUAUUGCAGUCAGUUUAUCCCUUGAUGUAAUUUCAGAAAUAGUCUUCAUAAUCUUUCAUCAACCACAUUGCUCCAUUUUGUUUAGGAUGGUGCCAGUGGAACUCAUACAUUCAGCAGGAUGAAUUGCAGACCGAUGCUAAGAGGACACCUGCACGCCUUGUGGCACGGGGGCAGAAAAUGGACCUGUUCUAUUUUCUUCCCUCCCUUUGUCCCUGGUUCCUUCUUCCUUCAUUCCCUGAGAAGAUGCUGCUCCUCUCGACCUGCACCGGCUGGAAAAAAAAACCCCACCUCCCAAUCACCUCUUCUACAAGAGGGCGUCAAGUCCCUGUGGUGUUUUACCCAGAGUUCAAUAACCCACUCCACCCUCAAUCAAGAGUGAGAAAAGAGGACAACAAUAAGGAGAAGCUGAGGACACUCAACAGACAUGUAAAAGGUAGACGCCAAUGGGUGGGACUCGCAUGCUGAUGGAAUGACGUUUGUCAGGCGGAUUAAAACUAAAGAUGAACCAUGUGGGAGUUUCCUCCAAAGAGCCUGUGGAUAAAUCUCAUUAGCAUAGCUGCUCUGUGGACGGCUGUAAAUUUAACGAAUGACGUGCUGGAGUGGAUGAGCUCAUCUGAAGAGUUUGGGAGUGUUUGCAUCUUUGUGGUGCCAUCAGCAAAUCAGCACUGCUGAACACGAGUCGCCGGUUCGAUCUCAGCUUGGAAUGAUCCGGCGGGAUUGUCCUUGUCUGUUAAAUGACUGCUUACUUUCAUCAAAAGCUGAUGAGCUGUUUAGACUCCCAUUCUGACGGCACCCAUUCACCGCAAAGGAUCUGUUGGUGAGCGAGUGAUGUAAUGCUGAGUUUCUUAAAAUCUGUUCUGAUUUUUGGAUGGACUGAGGAUGAGGGUGAGUACAUUUUUUGCCAA